UACAUGGGGUGCAAACGUUGCUCGGAAUUAUUGGGCGUAAAGCGCGCGUAGUCGGUUACUUAAGUCGGAUGUGAAAGCCCUCGGCUUAACUGAGGAAGUGCACCCGAAACUGAGUAGCUGGAGUACGAAAGAGGGUCGCGGAAUUCCCGGUGUAGAGGUGAAAUUCGUAGAUAUCGGGAGGAACACCGGUGGCGAAGGCGGCGACCUGGGUCGAGACUGACGCUGAGGCGCGAAAGCGUGGGGAGCAAACAGG
rnacentral:rRNA from 1 species